AUGCUCGAAAAAUUUUUGGAGCUGUAUUUUCCUGAUGGGGAAAAUAAGAAUCAAGGGCCUUUAACAGAUUACAUGUAUUACAUUGGAAAUUAUGCUGGUGCAAAGAUAAAAGACGUUUUGAGUAAUGGAGACCCCUUCACCUUAGAAGGCUAUUACAGUGAAAUCCGAACAUACCCAAUAAGAUUGUACCUAUAUACUUCAUGUAAAUCAAUAGGGGAUGAAGAUCCUAUCAUCAGUGAAAAAUCAACAGGAGAACCUCAGAAGAAAAUCAAAUUCAGUAAAGAAAAUGAUGAAAAAGUUCAGGAUGCAAGUGAUGAUGACUUUGAACCACUGCCAAAACUUGUUCUGAAAAAGUCCAAGAAAAGGAAACCAUCUGGUGACGUUCGAGACAAAAAGGUUGAAGAAUUGGAUCAGCCCCAAUGUUCUCAUGAGGCAGAUUUAAGAACCCCAACGACAGAAGAACUGGAUUGCAAAAGUUUACCAGAAAUACAUGUACCAUCUGAUUCAGGAACCCCAACAGUCAUUUUCAAAAGAGAUGCCACUGAUAAUGUUUUACCCCAGAGUAAUACGAAUGUAACAGCUGAAGAAAUUCUUAUACAACUCAGAGAGAAUAUAAAAACUGAUGGGAAAAAAAAUGUGAUUAACGUAGAUAGAAACAAUGUAUUGGGCACAAAAGAAUCAUUUAAAAGAGAAAAAUUCAUGGCUGAACAUCCAUUAUUUGUACGAUUCUCAGGGGAAAAGGGAAUUGAUGAUGGGGGUCCAUCAAGGGAAUUUAUGAGAAUUAUAAUACAAGCAGUGUCAGAGUCUUCUAUUUUCGAAGGCGAGUCCAGAAGAAAGAUGCUUUUGCAAAACCUGCUAGCUGAAGAGAAUGGUGAUUAUGAAACAUAUGGGAAAAUAAUAGCCUAUUGCUUGGUUCAUGGUGGACCAGCACCCACCUUUAUGUCAGAGUUUUUGUUUGGGCUUUUAGCCUAUGGUCCUGAUUCAGCAGACCCUACCAUUGACGACAUUGUUGAUGAUGAAUAUAAACAACAAGUUCAGAAGUACCAAAAAAGAAAAAUGAGCUUGUGCAUGCUUUAUGUAGACACAUUGCUGUCACAAGGAUUGAGAAGUCACUUAAACAAUACACCUGACAAAUUCAAAUCCAUCUUGGUAUUUGUAACUGGUUUGGAUUCGGUCCCCCCUUUAGGGUUUUCUCCACCACUGAAAUUGAAGUUUCGUCAUCCAGAAGCAGAUGAAAACUUCAGUGUUUUUGCUACCCCUUACGCAAACACAUGCUUCAACACUUUGAGCAUUCCUGUCACCGAAACAUACAAUGCAUUCAAAGAAGUCAUGGACAAUGCACUAGAUUUGGGAUGUUUAUUUACAGAUCAUUAA
rnacentral:sRNA from 1 species